UGUUGUUUGGUCUGGGUAAGGUCUUGUAAAUUAAAUUUAUGUGGUGAUAAGUGAGUCGUAAAGCUUUAUAACUGUUUGGUUGUUUAGAAUUUAGUGGGAUGUAGGUGGCUAUUAGGUCAUUUAUAUUUUUAUACAUUUGGUGAUGUGUGGUUUUUGAUAAGGUUAGAGGUACCUAGUUUUUGUUAUAUUGUUGUAAAUAUGGUUUUGUUGGUUUAUUGGUAUGUUAAUUGUUUGAACAACUGUUUUGCUAUAUUUGGUUAUUAUAUUAUCGUUGAAUAAGUAAUUUUAUUAUGCUAUUUAUUUCUUGAGUUCUUUCCGUCUGUUUAUUAAAAACAUUUCUAAUUUUAAUUGUAGUUAGUAGUGCCUGCCCAAUGUUGGUUAAUUAAUGGCCGCAGUAUAUUGACUGUGCAAAGGUAGCAUAAUUAAUUGCCUUUUAAUUGGAGGCUUGUUUGAAUGGUUUGACGUGAUUGGUAUGAAUAUUUGGUAUUUAGUUGAAAUUGAUUUUGAGGGUUUAGAAUCCUUAAUGUUUAAUAAGACGGAAAGACCCUAGGAUCUUUUGUUUUUGUUUGGGGCAAAUAUUGUUGUUUUAUGAAUAUUGUGACCCUGAGAUGAUAUUGGUUUAUUGGGUUAAG
rnacentral:rRNA from 1 species